CUACGGGCCGCUCCAGUGGGGAAUAUUGCGCAAUGGGCGAAAGCCUGACGCAGCAACGCCGCGUGAGGGAUGAAGGCCUUCGGGUUGUAAACCUCUUUCAGCAGGGAAGAAGCGAAAGUGACGGUACCUGCAGAAGAAGCACCGGCUAACUACGUGCCAGCAGCCGCGGUAAUACGUAGGGUGCAAGCGUUGUCCGGAUUUAUUGGGCGUAAAGAGCUCGUAGGCGGUUAGGCACGUCGGAUGUGAAAAUCCAAGGCUUAACCUUGGACCUGCAUUCGAUACGGGCUGACUAGAGUGUUGUAGGGGAGACUGGAACUCCUGGUGUAGCGGUGAAAUGCGCAGAUAUCAGGAAGAACACCGAUGGCGAAGGCAGGUCUCUGGGCAACUACUGACGCUGAGGAGCGAAAGCGUGGGGAGCAAACAGGAUUAGAUACCCUUGUAGUC
rnacentral:rRNA from 1 species